rnacentral:tRNA from 1 species
GGGAUUAUAGCUCAGUGGCAGAGCACAUAUUUGGCAUGCUUGAGGUCCUGGGUUCAAUCCCAGUGCUUCCA